GGUUUGAUAACCUGCUGCUGCUGCUGUGAUCCUGCAGGGAGAGUCUGACGACUCCAUCCUGAGGCUGGCUAAGAAUGACACCAUUGUUGCAAAGAACAUCUAAGGUCAACUCUGGAGCCACGGCAAAUUUGUAAAAUAAAAAUGGAGAAAAAAAAAA